rnacentral:rRNA from 1 species
UGCGGAGGGUGCAAGCGUUAUCCGGAUUCACUGGGUUUAAAGGGUGCGUAGGCGGGCAGAUAAGUCAGUGGUGAAAUCUCCGAGCUUAACUCGGAAACUGCCGUUGAUACUAUUUGUCUUGAAUACUGUGGAGGUAAGCGGAAUAUGUCAUGUAGCUGUGAAAUGCUUAGAUAUGACAUAGAACACCAAUUGCGAAGGCAGCUUACUACACAGCGAUUGACGCUGAGGCACGAAAGCGUGUGGAUCAAACAUG